GGAUUUUUUAUUUUUAGUCAUCUUUUUUUUUUUUUUUUUUUUUUUUUUUUUUUGUGGUACGCGGGCCUCUCACUGCUGUGGCCUCUCCCGUUGCGGAGCACAGGCUCCGGAUGCACAGGCUCAGCUGCCACGGCUCACGGGCCCAGCCACUCCGCGGCAUGUGGGAUCUUCCCAGACCGGGGCACGAACCCGUGUUCCCUGCAUCGGCAGGCGGAUUCUCAACCACUGCGCCACCAGGGAAGCCCUAUUUUUAGUCAUCUUGGUGCUUCAUCAUGGCCCUGCAAGUUUUUCGAGAUGGGCUUAUGGAUUCCUGGCACCUGGAGUAAUCAAUCAUAGCAGUGCUCAGUAAAUGAGCACUCAGUGAAGAUGCUGAGCUGUGGCAAUAGGCAUACUCAACUUAGAAGAAGCUUCUACAAGUCUAUUUAUUUCAGUCAACAAUAAAAUCUCUUCCAGUGAAUGAUUUUCCUGUCUUCUGUUAGCUGGCUUGAGCUUUACUACAGCUCACUACUUCAACGCCACUUUGCAUUUCCCCUGUCUUUGGAAAGGCUCUUGAGGAAGAGUAUUUACCUGCUCAGAGGUCUAUAGGGCCCAAGGACCUGUCGGCAAUCUCAUGGCCACUGGCCUCAAGGACACUAUAGGCCAGAAGAGAAGACGAUGUGGAUGUUCAGGAAGUAGCUCCCCAUUAAAACGCAAUAAAAAAAAAACACCUGGGGUCAUUAUGAGUUAAAGCUGGGAAAUGCUGUAUGAUUUUAGGGAGUGGAAGACUUCACAGAAGAGGGAAGCUUAGAGCUGGGCCCAGGAUUGGAGGGUAACAACAAGAGCAAAGACACAAGGCAAGCCUGAGUAAAUGUGGUAAAGGGUGUUAAUUUAGUGAAACAUACCCAGCAACUACAAAUUCUGUUAUUCACAGAGGGAAUGGACAGGAGAGGAAAGCAAGGACGUCAGCCCCAGCCUCUCCUCUAAAAGGCCAGUGAGAAGAGUUUGUUCAGGAGGUAGGAUGGAAUUGUGAAGGCCUCUUUUUUCUCAGAGGAAAUAAGAAAAGAGAUGAGGAGGGUGUGGUAUUUUAGAGCACGGCAGGGGUUCUAGGUGCUCCCGGGGUUGCAUCCAGAAACAAGGUGCCCACCACCUCCGCUCACGCCUUGUCUUUCCCUUUUCCUGCCCCUUCCUCUUGGGUUAGGGCAGCACUUGCUCAAAGAAGUUAUUUCCCAGAGCCAUCCCUACUUUGGACACAUUGAAGGGCUAAGCAACCCUCCCAAGGAUGAGGGGCAGGUAGGGAAAUGCUUCUCAAAUGGUAAUGUGCCUGACAACACCUGGGGAUCUUGUUCAAAUGCAGAUUCUGAUUCCCUAGGUCAGCGUGGGACUUUAGAUCCUCAUCUCUUACAAGUUCCCAGCUUCUAAAAAGAUGCCCGUUUGGCUGGUCCCUGUGUCACACUGAGUGUAGUAAGGUGACCAAGCAUUCACGAUGCCAAGAGCUCUCUCCACAAAUGCGUGGCUAUCCCCUCCCUGAAGUUCUGCCCCUAACCUUAUGGAGACAGUAACUGGAAGCAUUUAAUGAGGGUUUGGGGAAACACUUAGGUAGACCCUCAGUGACGUGGAUAAGGACCAUGACUUGUGGCUGGUCAGUUAAGAUAGUUUAUACAUACUAGCACUUAAUUGAGCUAGACAGUUAAAACAGGAAAAAUAUAAAACUGUAGAACAUCCAGAUAAAAGUACUGUCAAUCCAACCUAUGCCAGAAGGACGCUCAGGGGGAUGGGAAAGGCCCACUCUGUUAGGUGCUUCCAUACCUAAUAUCUCAUGUUAUCCUCAGAACAACCAUUGUGUUAAAAGAAAGGAAAAUGGAGGCUCACACAGGUUAAGGAUAUGGAACGAGGUCACUUGCAGGCAUUAAAGCUUGUAGGUUCCAUCAUGGGUCUGUUUGGCUCAAAAGCUCUUGUUCUUGCAUGAGACAUGAGUGUACACAGUUUAUACUAAACUUGGGUCACACAAACUCAGGUUUGAAUCCUAGCUCUACCCUUGGGAAGGCGACUUCAGUCUGAAUGUACCUCUGUUUUCUCAUCUACAGAAAUGGAUACAUCUGCUCCCAGGGCCGUCAUAGGAUGAGAUGGGAGUGGUAUCAUACAAUAGGUUGCAACCGUACCAUCACUGAAUUUAGGACUCAGGGAAGUUCAUAAAUGUCAGUUACUACCCUUUCUUAUUUCUUGAGAUUAUUUCUAAAGUUAGAUUGCCCCUCUGCUCCCAGAAGAUAUACAUUUGGGGCAGUGACUGGAGAUUAGACGACCCUCAUUACGGACCUCAACUACCUGCUUCAGAAUCUUUGCUAAAACCUCAGCCUACAGACAGGAAGGAUGCAGCAAGACUGGAAGAAAGAGCUGGAAUAAGAAUAAAGGAGGCUGGGGCUUCCCUGGUGGCGCAGUGGUUGAGAGUCCGCCUGCCGAUGCAGAG